AUUGAACGCUGGCGGCAUGCUUUACACAUGCCAGUCGAACGGCAGCGCGGGCUUCGGCCUGGCGGCGAGUGGCGAACGGGUGAGUAAUGCAUCGGAACGUGUCCAGUAGUGGGGGAUAGCCCGGCGAAAGCCGGAUUAAUACCGCAUACGACCUGAGGGUGAAAGCGGGGGACCGAAAGGCCUCGCGCUAUUGGAGCGGCCGAUGUCGGAUUAGCUAGUUGGUGGGGUAAAGGCUUACCAAGGCGACGAUCCGUAGCUGGUCUGAGAGGACGACCAGCCACACUGGGACUGAGACACGGCCCAGACUCCUACGGGAGGCAGCAGUGGGGAAUUUUGGACAAUGGGGGCAACCCUGAUCCAGCCAUGCCGCGUGCGGGAAGAAGGCCUUCGGGUUGUAAACCGCUUUUGUUCGGGAAGAAAUCCUCUGGGCUAAUACCCCGGGGGGAUGACGGUACCGGAAGAAUAAGCACCGGCUAACUACGUG
rnacentral:rRNA from 1 species